GUGAGGAGAGAGAAAUAGAGACAGAGAGAGACAGAGAGUGAGAACAUAGGUGGGAAGAAGAAACGGGGAGGCAGGGAGGGAGACUGAGGGCAGGGAAUCAGUGCCUGCUCUCCCUCUUCUGAAACACACCAGGGAAAGCCCUUUGGGAAUUUACGACGGCAACAACAGGCUAUUGGAGCCACUAUUAUCAUUAUUUUUACAGAUGCUGUAAAAAACCUCAGCAAGUCUCCUGGGAAAUCUGAGUGUCUGUCUUGUGCCUGGGACUGUCUUAGAAGCUGGAGAUGCUGCCGUGAAUGAGACACACCAUCCCUGCCUUCAUGGACCGACUAGAAGCACCUUCUAGUCUUACUUUCUCAUUGAACAGAGGGGUAAACUGAGGCUUAUGGUUGGGAGGGGGAAAUGAUUGACACAUGGUCAUAUAGUGGGAUGGUGGCAGAAGUGGGACUAGAUCUCAGGUUCCUCACUGCCAGGCAAGAGCGUGUUCUGUGACUCUAGGCUUAGAAAGGAGAGGAAGUCUCUUAUUGAGAACACACAGGGCAAGUGGAGAGUCAGAUCCAUGAUGAGCCACCAACUGGGAAGUAGGAGGGCACAAAGGUGCUUGAGGAUCAUUCGAGGUUUUGUUAAUAAACCUUUUGUUUCAGAAGAGUUUUAGAUUUACAGAAAAGUUGCUGAUAGAAUACAGAGAGUCCUCAUAUAUUCCACACCCAGUUUCCUUUAUUAUUAGCAUUUUAGAUUAGCAGGACAUGCUUGCCACAAUUAAUGAACCCUAUUGAUACCUCACUAUGAACUGAAGUCCACUAUGAACUGAAGUCCAACCCUAUUGAUACCUCACUAUGAACUGAAGUUCAGACUUCCUUACUUUUUAGCUCAUGUUCUUUCUCUGUUCCAGGAUCUCAUGCAGAAUACCACAUCACAUUUAGUCAUCAUGUCUCAGACUUCUCUUGGCUGUGACAGUUUCACAGGCUUUGUUUUUGAUGACCUUGACGGUUUGGAGGAACAUUGCUCAGAUAAUUGCAAGGCUGCAUUAAGGGAAGAGAAAGAGGCAUGGAAGAAGAGAAAGCAAAGCAUCACAAUAGGCUUGAAAGCACUUUUUGGGACAAAACUUUGUAUGUGUACUGAAAUGUGGAACUUAGUGGAAGCAAACAGAAAUCUACUACGUUUUUAAGGGAGGUAAAUUGCUAUGAAACCAUGAACCUGGAACCAAAAAGCUUUCGACUAUUGAGUCCUAAAACCAGUUUCACGCCAGCAUACUUGCACCAGCAGAAGGCUGGCUGUUGAAGCUGGGUAACUGCCAAAGGUUGCAUUCUCCCCAAUAUCCACUGUAGAUAUAGCCAUGGUGGAUAAUGGAAAAGGGAGACCCUUCAAUCAAAAGGGAAGAGUCAGGUCACAGAGGACGGUGACAAAGGAGUUCUUCUCAGAAAACAGAAUCAGAGUUGAAUAUAAGAACUUAGUCUGAGGCCUUCAUAAUGCUCUCCAAGCAGGAUUUCAGAAUUGCUAUGAACCAUAAUGGGCGUGUGUGUUUUCCUUCUUUUCAAACAAGGUCUUUAAUUUGCUGUUACUCUGUCCCUGUGCCACCAUUGUAUAUUGGGUGUGUGUAGAGUAGGGGGUGGGUUGGGGGGCAGAUAAUUUUUCUUUUUAGUUCAUAGGUCACUGGACCACCAAGAGACCUGAUGGAGAUACUGGAACAUUGGCGAUCUUGAGCUUUGACCUGGAUGUGCUGACAGGGGAUGUGAAAAGUCAAGGAGAAUGAUGCAAAAAUACUCAUGAACUAUCCGGUGCUGAACAAAUAGAGGGAAGAUAAUGAUGCUGCUGACGAAACUGAUGAAGAAGACCACGAUGAUGAUAAUUGUGCUUUGCUCGUAAAGUUACUUGAUUUUUGACUGACUGAUUAGAUGCAGUUUCCCUGAAUGGAGCUGCCUACCGCCUUCCUUCUAGGGCUUAUCCAGACAACCUUGGAGAAAGCCUGCCUGGUAGAAGAGAAAGGAGCCAAGCAAAACCAAAAAACGGAUAUGAGAUGAAAAGGAAAGAGAGUAGAGUCCUGGUGACAUCAAGUCCUGGCUCUCUUUGGGGAUCCUGGAGAAGAGUAUUUUUAGGAGGCAUUACUGUGAAGCAUAGCAGGUGGCCAGAUGGUAAUGGAAGGAAACAUGGUCCCUUCUAUCGGCUACAAGAACUGAGUGGCAUUCAGAGCUUCUCUCGCAUCUUGGACUCUCAGGCUGCAGAUCAAUCACAAUGCCAUAGAACACAGAUGACACUUUCCCCUGCUUUGGAGACCCGUUGUUCCCAUGGUGUAGAUACAUGUAAGAGGGAGUGCCAUAGAAAAUGACAACUGCUCGUCAGGUGGGAAGCUCACAUGAAGAAGCCUUGUGUCCUUCCUGCAGUGGAAGACAUCUUCGGGAUAGCAGCCAGGGUAUAUACCUGGGAAAAGAUGACCACCAUCAAUCACAGUGGUGUUCAGGAGCUUUCAGUUCUCAUGCCCCCACAGAAACAAUGACUGACAACCAUUCACAGAUGAGAGCACCUUUGUGGAGCCCGGAAGGCCAGCAGAGAGGUCCAAGCAUCCUGCUGAAGAAAAGAAUCUGAACAUAGACACUUUAAAGAGGAUAAGAAAAGCAGUUUCAUUUUACCAGCAUCGGCCUCCCUCAAGGCAGCACAGCUUAAUGUCAAAGAGACCUGCACCUCCAGUGAUUUCUCCCAUAGGGGAAAGUGAGACCUUCUCCAGCCUAAGGGGUUCUUUUCUUUCUCACCUCACCCAGAAUACUGAAUGAAUGACUCAAUAGUCCUGGGACAAUUCGGGGCAGGGGCUCACAGCAACAUGGGUGCAGUACAUAAAGCGUUAUUGUUUCCACUGGCUGCUCUGCAGAAUCCACCAAGAGGCUGCUCACAAACCUUCCAGGACAUAUCACCUGUGGAGGCCACAACAAGACCAUGGUUGUGUCUGGUAUUUUGCCUGCCCUCUCCCCAUAGAUGUGCCUGCAAGAGCCUCUGCAGCUCAUACACCAAAAACACACACAGACAGCCAACUAGACUGCUCUGGGUUGGGAGAAGAUACUUUAAGCACUUCAUGUCACUGCCCUAGGAAAAAUAAAUUGGAGAUUCUCAGUACCCAGCAUGGUUUUAAGGCUUGAGAGAAAGUAUACAAUCGUAACACUUCCUCGUGGAGAGGGAACAAAAGGAGUGGAGUUGGUGUAUCCAUAGGAUAAGUCUGAGAUUCCACAUGCAAGUGAGAUCAUGCAGUAUUUCUUUCUUCAUCUGGCUGAUUUCACUUAGCACAGUGUUCUCCAGGUUCCUCCAUGCUGUUGCAAAUGGCAGGAUUUCCUUAUUUUUAAUGGCUGAAUAAUAUUCCAGUGUCUAUAUAUAUCAUGUUUUCUUUAUCCAUUCAUCUGCUGACCAACAUUUGUUUACGUAUCUUGACUAUUGAGACUAGUGCUGCAAUGAACAUUACAGAUGAGAGUGCAGAUAUGUAUUCGACAUACUGAUUUCAUUUCCUUUGGAUAUACACCCAGAAGUGGGAAUGCUGAAUCAUAUGGUAGUUCUAUUUUUAACUUUUUGAGGAAGCUCUGUACCAUUUUUACAAUGCUUGUACCAGUUUAUAGUCCCAUCAGCUGUGUACAAGGAUUUUUGUCACACAAAACUUCAACACAUCCUUUUCUUUUUGUUAGUAGCCAUUUUAACAAGUGUGAUGUGAUAUCUCAUUGUGAUUUUGAUUUGCAUUUAUUUGGCAAUUAGUGAGGUUGAGCACCUCUUCAUAUACCCAUUGGCCAUUUGUAUGUCUUCUUUUGAGAAAUGCCUAUUCGGGUAACUUGACCAUUUUAAAAUCAGGUUGUUUACAUAUUUAUUUUGCUAUUGAGUUGUGUGAGUACCUUAUAUACUUUGGAUAUAAACUCCUUAUCAGGUAUAUAGUUUGCAAAUAUUUUCUUCCAUUCUCUACAUUGUCUUUUCAUGUUGUUGAUUGUUUCAUUUGCUGUACAGAAGUUUUUUAGUUUCAAAGAAGUAAUUCCACUUGUUUCUUUUUGUUAUUGUUGUCAUGGGCUUUUUAUGUCUUAUCGAAAAAAAUAAUGCCAACAGCAAUGUGAAAGUGCUUUUCUCCUAUGUUUUCUUCCAGGAGUUAUAUGGUUUCAGAUUUUACAUUUAAGUCUUUAAUCCAUUUAGAGUUAAUUUUUGUAUAUGGUAUGAGUCCUAUUUCAUUUUUUGCAUGUGGCUAUCCAGUUUUUGCAACACUACUUAUUAAAGGGAUUUCCCCCCCAAUUUUGUACUGGCACUUUGGUCAAAGAUUAGUUUACCACAUAUGCCUAGAUUUAUUUCUGGGCUCUGUAUUCUGUUUCAUUAAUCUAUCUGUCUGUUUUCAUGUCAGUACCAUACUGUUUUGAUUACUGUAGCUUUGUGUUAUAAUUUGAAAUUAUUGAGUGUGAUGCCUCUAGGUUUAUUCUUUUUACUCAAGAUUUCUUUGACUAUUGGAGGUCUUUUGUGGCUUAUAAAUUUUAGGAUUGUUUUUUCUAUUUCUGCAAAAAAUGUCAUCAGAAUUUUGACAGAGACUGCAUUAAAUCUGUAGACUACUUUGGGUAAUAUGGACAUCUUAGUAAUAUUAAUUAUUCCUUUCCAUGAACACAGAAUAUCUUUCCACUUUUUUUUUGUCUUCAGUUUUUUCAUCAAUAUCUCAUAUUUUCAAUGUACAGAUCUUUUACCUCCUUGUUAAAUGUAUUCUUUAAGUAUUGUAUUCUUUUUGAUGCCAUUGUAAAUGGAAUAAUGUUGUUAGUUUCCUUUUUGAAUAGUUUAUUGUUAGUGUAUAGAAACACUAAUGACUUUUCUGUGUCUAUUUUUUAUGCUGUAACUUUCCUGAAUUUAUUACUUUUAUCAGUUUUUUUUUGUGUGUAGAGUCUUUAGAGUUUUCUCUAUAUAAGAUCAUGUCAUUUGCAGAGACACUUUGAUUUCUUCCUUUUCAAUUUGGAUAAUUUCAUUUCUUUUUUUUUUGCCUAAUUGCAACAGCUAUAACUUCCAGUACUGUGGUGAAUAUAAAUGGCAAGAAUGGGCAUCCUUGUAUUUUUCCUUAUCUUAAAGGACAAUCUUUCAUCUUUUUACCAUUAAGUAUGAUGUAGACUGUGGGCUUGUCAUACAUGGCUUUUAUUAUUUUGAGACACAUUGCUUCUACACCUACUUUGUUGAGACUUUUACCAUAAAACACCAUUGAAUUUUGUCAAAUGCUUUUUCUGUAUCAAUUGAGAUGACCGUAUGAAUUUAAUCCUUUAUUCUGUUAAUGUAGUGUAUCUUAUUUAUUGUUUUGCAUAUGUUGAAACAUCCUUGCAUCCUAAGAGUAAAUCCCACUUGAUGAAUUUAAUGUGCUGUUGAAUUCAGUUUGCUAACAUUUUAUUGAUGAUUUUUGCAUGCAUAUUCACCAAGGAUGUGGCCUUUAACUUUCUUUUCAUGUAGUGUUUGUGUCUGGCAUUUGUAUUAGGGUAAUGCUGGCCUCAUAAAAUCAGUUUGGAAAUAUUCCUUCUUCUCUGCUUUUUCUGGAAGAGUUUGAGA